ACCGGUUGCCUCCGUCGUGCUGGCGCAUUUGUAGUGAACAACAGCAGAGUCCGAAUAUGCUUUUCGGAAGUCGUUUCUAAGAGCACUCUACCGGGGCAUCAUCGGAGAUUGCAUCGACCUCGGUAGUGUUCUGCUACGCCCGUUCAAGGGGUUAUCCCCGACCGGUGGCCGUGGGAACGUGGAAAUGGUGCCACGGAUUCAUUCAUAAAUGGUGACUCGUAAGCACGAGGUUUCACUGUGACUUUUCAGCGUGUCGAGGUUUACAUAUAUACAAGCGAAAGAUAUUUAACCGAAAAACCGUAUCCGCUUAAAAGCCUGUUACUAGGUGGCAGCAGGUGACUUGGCAGACAGCGGCAUCAAAACACCGCUAGUGAAUGGACGCGAAAGACACGGAAGAGGCUACAUAGGAAAAGACAAUGGCAUGCACUGAUAUCAGAAUAUUUUCUCGCAAGAUGCCAAUAUUCAUAAUAGAGGCAUCAAAUCACCGACGGCAGAUGGAGAAGACAGAGACUGCAGGACCAAAAAUUACGUUUGAUUUUUUGGCUUCUGGUUAUAGUACGCGUGUACUUACUUGUACAUGCCCAAAAACGUAUACGUGCGUAAGCAUGCACGCACACAAACAGAUCGCUACACACCCGUGAAUACGCGUACG